AGCUAUGAACGAAAGUUCGACUAAGUCAUAUUAAAUAAGGGCUGGUAAAUUUCGUGCCAGCCACCGCGGUCAUACGAUUAGCCCAAAUUAAUAAACCCUCCGGCGUAAAGCGUGUCAAAGACUAAUACCAAAAUAAAGUUAAAACCCAGUUAAGCCGUAAAAAGCUACAACCAAAGUAAAAUAGACUACGAAAGUGACUUUAAUACCUCUGACUACACGAUAGCUAAGACCCAAACUGGGAUUAGAUACCCCACUAUGCUUAGCCCUAAACUAAAAUAGCUUACCACAACAAAGCUAUUCGCCAGAGUACUACUAGCAACAGCCUAAAACUCAAAGGACUUG
rnacentral:rRNA from 1 species